GACGAACCGUGCGAACGUUAUUCGGAUUGAUUGGGCUUAAAGGGCGCGUAGGCGGCUCGCCAGUCUGUGGUGAAAGCCCCCGGCUCAACCGGGGAGUGCCCGGGAGUACUGGCCGCCUGGAGGUGGGGAGAGGCGUCUGGAACUGCCGGUGGAGCGGUGAAAUGCGUAGAGAUCUGGAGGAACACCGAUGGCGAACGGCAGCCUUCUGGGCCAACACUGGACGCUCAUGCACGAAAGCGUGGGGAGCAA
rnacentral:rRNA from 1 species